rnacentral:rRNA from 1 species
GAUCCUGGCUCAGGACGAACGCUGGCGGCGUGCCUAACACAUGCAAGUCGAACGAGAAUCUUUGAACAGAACUUUUCGGAGUGACGUUCAAAGAGGAAAGUGGCGGACGGGCGAGUAACGCGUGAGUAACCUGCCCAUAAGAGGGGGAUAAUCCAUGGAAACGUGGACUAAUACCGCAUAUUGUAGUUAAGUUGCAUGACUUGAUUAUGAAAGAUUUAUCGCUUAUGGAUGGACUCGCGUCAG